rnacentral:rRNA from 1 species
GUCCCAGUUCGGACUGCGGUCUGCAACCCGACCGCACGAAGCUGGAAUCGCUAGUAAUCGCGAAUCAGAAUGUCGCGGUGAAUACGUUCCCGGGCCUUGUACACACCGCCCGUCAAGCCAUGGAAGCCGGGGGCGCUUGAAGUGCGUUGCCGCAAGGCGCGCCCUAGAGCGAAACCGGUGACUGGGGCUAAGUCGUAACAAGGUACC